rnacentral:rRNA from 1 species
GAUGAACGCUAGCGGGAGGCCUAACACAUGCAAGCCGAGCGGUAUUGUUUCUUCGGAAAUGAGAGAGCGGCGUACGGGUGCGGAACACGUGUGCAACCUGCCUUUAUCUGGGGGAUAGCCUUUCGAAAGGAAGAUUAAUACUCCAUAAUAUAUUGAACGGCAUCGUUUAAUAUUGAAAGCUCCGGCGGAUAGAGAUGGGCACGCGCAAGAUUAGCUAGUUGGUGAGGUAACGGCUCACCAAGGCGAUGAUCUUUAGGGGGCCUGAGAGGGUGAUCCCCCACACUGGUACUGAGACACGGACCAGACUCCUACGGGAGGCAGCAGUGAGGAAUAUUGGUCAAUGGGUGCAAGCCUGAACCAGCCAUCCCGCGUGAAGGACGACUGCCCUAUGGGUUGUAAACUUCUUUUGUAUAGGGAUAAACCUUUCCACGUGUGGAAAGCUGAAGGUACUAUACGAAUAAGCACCGGCUAACUCCGUGCCAGCAGCCGCGGUAAAACGUG